rnacentral:rRNA from 1 species
UGAGGAAUAUUGGUCAAUGGGCGAGAGCCUGAACCAGCCAAGUAGCGUGCAGGAUGACGGCCCUAUGGGUUGUAAACUGCUUUUAUGCGGGGAUAAAGUGUGCGACGUGUCGUGCAUUGCAGGUACCGCAUGAAUAAGGACCGGCUAAUUCCGUGCCAGCAGCCGCGGUAAUACGGAAGGUCCGGGCGUUAUCCGGAUUUAUUGGGUUUAAAGGGAGCGUAGGCCGCCAGAUAAGCGUGUUGUGAAAUGUACCGGCUCAACCGGUGAAUUGCAGCGCGAACUGUUUGGCUGGAGUGCACGGUAAGCAGGCGGAAUUCAUGGUGUAGCGGUGAAAUGCUUAGAUAUCAUGAGGAACUCCGAUUGCGAAGGCAGCUUGCUGCAGUGCGACUGACGCUGAUGCUCGAAGGUGCGGGUAUCAAACAGG